rnacentral:rRNA from 1 species
CGGGACACGAAACAAGGUGCUGCAUGGUUGUCGUCAGCUCGUGCCGUGAGGUGUUGGGUUAAGUCCCGCAACGAGCGCAACCCUUAUCACUAGUUGCCAGCAUUUAAGGUGGGGACUCUAGUGAGACUGCCGGCGUAAGCCGUGAGGAAGGUGGGGACGACGUCAAAUCAUCAUGGCCUUUAUGCCUAGGGCUACACACGUGCUACAAUGGCGAGUACAGAGGGUAGCGAAGCCGCAAGGUGGAGCCAAUCUCAUAAAACUCGUCCCAGUUCGGAUUGAAGUCUGCAACUCGACUUCAUGAAGGUGGAAUCGCUAGUAAUCGCGCAUCAGCCAUGGCGCGGUGAAUACGUUCCCGGACCUUGUACACACCGCCC